AACGAACGCUGGCGGCAUGCCUAACACAUGCAAGUCGAACGAGACCUUCGGGUCUAGUGGCGCUCGGGUGCGUAACGCGUGGGAACUUGCCCUUAGGUUCGGAAUAACUCCCCGAAAGGGGUGCUAAUACCGGAUAAUGUCUUCGGACCAUAGAUUUAUCGCCUUUGGAUGGGCCCGCGUUGGAUUCGCUAGUUGGUAGGGUAAAAGCCUACCAAGGCGAGGAUCCAUAGCUGGUCUGAGAGGAUGAUCAGCCACACUGGGACUGAGACACGGCCCAGACUCCUACGGGAGGGAGCAGUGGCGAAUAUUGGACAAUGGGCGAAAGCCUGAUCCAGCAAUGCCGGGUGAGUGAUGAAGGCCUUAGGGUUGUAAAGCUCUUUUACCCGGGAUGAUAAUGACAGUACCGGGAGAAUAAGCUCCGGCUAACUCCGUG
rnacentral:rRNA from 1 species